UACGUAGGGGGCGAGCGUUGUCCGGAUUUAUUGGGCGUAAAGAGCUCGUAGGCGGUUUGGUAAGUCGGGGGUGAAAUCUCCACGCUCAACGUGGAGGGGCCACUCGAUACUGCCAUGACUCGAGUCCGGUAGAGGAGUGUGGAAUUCCCGGUGUAGCGGUGAAAUGCGCAGAUAUCGGGAGGAACACCCGUAGCGAAGGCGGCGCUCUGGGCCGGAACUGACGCUGAGACGCGAAAGCGUGGGGAGCAAACAGG
rnacentral:rRNA from 1 species